rnacentral:rRNA from 1 species
UAAGGGAUAUUGCGACAAUGGGCGCAAGCCUGACGCAGCAACGCCGCGUGCGGGAUGACGGCCUUCGGGUUGUAAACCGCUUUUCUGGGGGAAGAGGCAGGACGGUACCUCAGGAAGAAGUCUCGGCUAACUACGUG